rnacentral:rRNA from 1 species
CCUACGUGCGGCAGCAGUGGGGAAUAUUGGACAAUGGGCGAAAGCCUGAUCCAGCCAUGCCGCGUGUGUGAAGAAGGCCUUCGGGUUGUAAAGCACUUUCAGUGGGGAAGAAAGCCUUGGGGCUAAUACCCUCGAGGAAGGACAUCACCCACAGAAGAAGCACCGGCUAACUCCGUGCCAGCAGCCGCGGUAAUACGGAGGGUGCGAGCGUUAAUCGGAAUUACUGGGCGUAAAGCGCGCGUAGGCGGUCUGAUAAGCCGGUUGUGAAAGCCCCGGGCUCAACCUGGGAACGGCAUCCGGAACUGUCAGGCUAGAGUGCAGGAGAGGAAGGUAGAAUUCCCGGUGUAGCAGUGAAAUGCGUAGAGAUCGGGAGGAAUACCAGUGGCGAAGGCGGCCUUCUGGACUGACACUGACGCUGAGGUGCGAAAGCGUGGGUAGCAAACAGGAUUAGAUACCCUGGUAGUC